rnacentral:antisense_RNA from 1 species
UAGCCAUGAUUCACCUCUUCAUCAGGUGGGUUGUGGUCAGGCCGACCGAGCGUUGCACCGCCCGGUUCGGCCGCUU